ensembl:lncRNA
UCUUAUUACCGUUACCACUACAUUUGUGUAAUUAUUGGCCUACAAAACAGUUCACAAGCUUUCUCUCAUUUGAUGCUCAAAGCAGCACUUAGCAUGAUGCAAGCUGGACAGGUGGAAUAAUCACAGCCUUUGCUUGAAGAAUUCCCUGCCUGUCAGACCCCGAAGGCUCAAGUCUGUGGACAGAAGAUGUGUGAAUACUGAGCUAAAACAGAGUAUAGGCAAGAGUUUUGUCUGUUCACCACUGGGAUUUAAGAACUUAAAGGCCAAGAACUGGCCUCAAAAGCAAAGGAGUGGUGAUCAUUUUGUAAUGUAUAAAAAUAUCGAAUCACUAUGUUUUGCACCUGUAAAAAAAGAAAAAAGACGAGGCGAAGUCAAUAUAUG